rnacentral:misc_RNA from 1 species
GAUGAAGAACGUAGUGAAAUGCGAUAAGUAAUGUGAAUUGCAGAAUUCAGUGAAUCAUCGAAUCUUUGAACGCACCUUGCGCCCUUUGGCCAUUCCGAAGGGCAUGCCUGUUUGAGUAUCAUGAACACCUCAACUCUUCAUGGUUUUCCAUGAUGAGCUUGGACUUUGGGGGUCUUGCUGGCCUGUGGGUCGGCUCCUCUCAAAUGAAUCAGCUUGCCGGUUUUUGGUGGGCAUCACAGGUGUGAUAACUAUCUACGCUUGUGGUUUUCCACCAGGGUUACCUUCAGCAGUGGAGGUUCACUGGAGCUUACAAAUGUCUCUCCUCUGUGAGGACAGCCCUUUGAAUGUUUGAUCUCAAAUCAGGUAGGACUACCCGCUGAACUUAAGCAUAUCAAUAAGCGGAGGA